rnacentral:misc_RNA from 1 species
AAACUUCAUUUAGAGGAGCGAGUCGAUAGUCUCUAAUUGUCACCUGAGUCAUUCCAUAUCAGCGCAGAAUUGCCGUGCCUCCCACAAAAGUCAUUUCCGAUGCCAAAAGGACAACGAAAGAUCGAUAUUGUGAAAAUCUGCUUUAUAUCAGCGCGAUGUAUGAAAAAAGAGAAGUGGACAGUUUUUACUGAUACUUUUUGUAUAAUUCUUCUACAAAUAUUUCGUUGAGCUCAGCUGAAAGGAAAAACCCCUUAAGGUAAUACGCAUGUAUAUAUGUGCUUUCACAGUUUUGUCAUUUAUUCCAUGCGUUAAUUAAUGAACUGGCAAUGACGUGACGCAAGUCUUGUGUAGCCGCCAGACAGUAGUUAGGGUGAUGAAAGCUCGUCUUUGAAGUCGGUUGAGGGGUGCUUGUCUAAGAUUUGUUAUUUACAAAGGAAAUGUAAGGUUUUAUUAACGAAUGUCUCGUGUACAUAUUGAAUUUUUUGCCAACAAAUUCUCAAAAUACCCUUUAAGAGAGAUUUUUUCAGGUGUUUAAAUCUUAUUUUAACAGAUUAAUAUUAUCAUUUUAUUUUUAUUUCUAUUUUUUAUACAUUUUACAUUACAUAUUGCAGAAAUACGUUUAUGUAUAUAUUAACUGGUUUGAACUAGUCAUAUAUUGUACAUGACUUUAUAUUGAUAUUAUGGCAAUUAUACAAUAAUCCGAUAAUAUAUUGAUAUACAGGCAAGUUUAUGAUACUGUACUGGUAGAGAUCGACCCUGUUAUGACACUUGUGAUAUCUUCAUGUAUAUUACAUGUAUAUUAUUGAUGUAUAACCUGAAAUACCUGUACUGGGGUAGGAGAUCAAUAGGUGUAACUAACCGUGUAAAUGUGGGUCGGAAUGGUGACCAUUGCAUCAGUUUGUGUACAGACAACGCACUCAGGCUAUAACACAUGUCACACACGAUAUGCAAUGAAAAUAUAUAUUUAUUUUUUGUGGUAAGGUCAUUAAAAAAAUCUUUAGCCAAGUAAAAUUCAAGAAUCUGCUAAUUUUUUGGAAUUUUAGACACCCUUCCUUUUUCGUCUUAUCGCCCGUAAAUAAGGAGAACCUAGUGUCGUAUUAGUGUAGUUUUUAUAUGAUUAUUCUUCACUUUCUCUGUGUAGAAUUAAACCGCCUUCUUCUAUGACGUUCACUAAGCGGACCGAGGGGUAGAGCGAUAGCCGGUUGCCCCCACCCCCAGAAUAACACCACUCUUUUCCCGGUAGUUUAAGAAUGACGCACCUCACUAGGCGUGCUGACGUUGAAUUAUCCUAGGGUGGGGUUUCUUGGUGUGGGGACCUAAUCAUGGAAUGUUUCGUAUAGCUAUUGACAUAUCUAUUUUUAAUUACUCAGUGAUGAGAUAUCUAUGUUUAAUUACUCAGUGAUGAGAUUUAAUUACUCAGUGAUGAGAUUUUUAAUUUGCAAUGACGUGCUACAUAUGUAAGUGUAGCACCGAGACAAAUUCUUUUUUUAAAUCUCGCCUUUUUUUAUUUUGUUGUUAGUAUCUGUUUUAUGUUUCAUUUUUCAUUGAUAUUUUCUUCCACUUUUGCAUGUGUCUCAAAAAGGUUUCAUGUUCAAAGAAAUCAUUAUAGAAGCUAGAACUCCACAUGACGCUGUUUGUACCUUGUGUACGUUGUGAGUACACCUGUGUACAAUAGCCGAAGUAGUUUCUGACACAAAUUCUGAACAUCAAAUGACGUUCUCUUAGUAGAACUGAUCAGAAUUUGUAACCUAAUAAUUACUUGUCAAUAAAGAACUGAAA